AUGAAAAAAAAAUUAUUUUCCGAAACUUUAAUACAUUUUAACCAAUAAUGGUUUUUAAAUAAAACGAUCAUCCAAUAUAAAGUAUAUAUUUUGUAUAUAUUUGAAAUUAUCUAAAUACGAUUGCCUGCAGGUGCCCAAAAUCCUCAAGCUCAAACUCCGCGUAUGUAAAAAUGAUUAGUAUUUUCCUUUUUAAUUUGUAAUAUUUGUAUGUAAAAUUUCAUUUUAAACAAUAUUUUUUUUACAUAAUUUUCAGCGAAAUAA